UACGUAGGGUGCGAGCGUUAUUCGGAAUUACUGGGCGUAAAGCGUGCGCAGGCGGUUCGUUAAGUCAGAUGUGAAAUCCCCGGGCUUAACCUGGGAACUGCGUUUGAAACUGAAAGGCUAGAGUGUGGCAGAGGGGGGUGGAAUUCCACGUGUAGCAGUGAAAUGCGUAGAGAUGUGGAGGAACACCGAUGGCGAAGGCAGCCCCCUGGGCUAACACUGACGCUCAUGCACGAAAGCGUGGGGAGCAAACAGG
rnacentral:rRNA from 1 species